AAAUGGCUUAACAAUUAUUCGGAUCAAUUCGCGUGAAGCAAGCCAACUUUAUGAUCAAGCGGCAAUGUAAAAUAUAGAUAACUUGCCUGAUAUCGAUCAGAAAGCUUUAUAGAACGUGAGAACUGAAUUUCGAUCGAAAAAAAGGAAACAACCGUGGACGGAAUGAUUAAUGAGUGGCACUCUCAGUGUAAAAUACACUAUAUUUGGUUGGUUGCAACAACGUUUCACUUGAAAUAGGAUAAAUAUAUGUGUUUAAGUGGUAGCGAGUGUCUUCAAGUACAUAUAGUGUAUUUGGCUAUGUAAGCUAUUUUGCCAAAAACAUCAAGUGAAUAAGCGAACAGAGCGAACCAUCAUUUUAAAUAGUGUCGGUGUUACGAUCAAAAGCAAACAAAGAGGCCAGUCAGGUAAUCUAGACUCAUAAAUUAGUGGCUUACUUCAGAAAGUAAUCUCUGUUUUACAUGUACGUGAUUCAGGGCUUAGAAAGCCGAAGGAUACACGUGAAGCAUUUGUUACUGGGGACGACAGUGACGUUUGGGAUAGAAUGGCGUACGAUGGUGGCAAACCUUCAUCAACGCUCUGACUGUAACCAUACAGUUACUCAUUCUGCGGAUAAGUUCAAUCAAUGGAAAAGAAGCCAGACGUUUUCCAAUAGCAAGAGGAACAUGUUAUAAACUUGGGCAAAAGAAAUAAGGACGGUGUGGAUGCAAGUGAGGAUCGGGCUAAUUGUAAUUAUAUAACAAUUAUAUAUAUAAACUAUCAAUCGCAUCUCUAAAUAGUAAAUAUAAGUUAAGAAGUCAACAAUACGCAACUUAAACAAACAAACAAACAAACAAAACGUUUCCAAAUAUCUGAAUGAGUUUAUGCACUUACAAAAGACGCAUUUAUUUCAGACCAUUUCGAUCUCAUAGAGUUUUACCCUAGCAUUGGCACAUUGAUUAAUAACCAGCGGGACAUAAUCACAUUUGAAUGCAGGAUCGACACAUUUGGUUCCAUUUUGAACAGCCGUGAAUGACACUUUGCGAGCAGGAUUUUGCUAAUAUUUCUGUUCAAGAUCAAGAUUUGAGAGACCUCGUUUUCGCUAAGUCUGUUCAGGUCUACACAACAGAGAAGUUUCGCCAUCACUUUGCUUCUGGUUCAAAUGAAACGACUCGAAUCAUAAUGCUCCGAGACAUUAAAUAUGAUAUCGAACAUACUAAUAAAUUUGCAUUGGUUGAUGUUGAUAAUUUUCUGGAGGCAGACGUUAACGAGUUUCUAAAAGAUGCAGCCAUCGGUUUGGCUGGACUUGUACUGGUUGACGACAUUCUACACUUUCCAGAACUUUUCAAAAUACGUUUACUGGUUCCCAAAUUUCUAAACUAUCCAAGUUGUAUCAAAACUCAACCGAAUGAGAUCAUGAAGAACGCCGACUAUUUAAUGGAAAUGUGUGCACUUUCUUUAUUGAAAUCAAUACGGCUCUCUGUACACCAAUAUGAAGGAAACCGUAGUGGUUCGGGACGAAAAACGGCCUACCUUCUUGAUCUGAUUGACCUCAUUGUGUCAACAUACGAAAGAAGUUUCAACUUCUCAUCAUCAAACAAAGACUAACUGAAAAUAAAUGAACUUAUUCACAGAGUGUUGGUUAGUUUGAAGUAUGAUGAAUUCAAAUCACGGAUUUUAGCACAGGAACAAAAAUAUUCAACUACAUUAAUCAUAAAAUAGAAUCAGGUUAUCUACAUGUAUAUAAAAAGUAUAAUUAUGGUUUUAUUUUUAAUACAUUUUUAGUUGGACGAAAAUAACUAAAUUUAAUAACACCCAUAUUAAAAAAGUACUAAAAAACAAUCGUGUUUUAUCUGUAAUUAUUCACACAUUUACAUCUAAUCCAUUUCUAAUGUAUUAAACACUUGAAUCAAUUCUUCUAAACCCCAUCAUAAGUGGUGGCGAAACAGGAUUAUUUCUAAAAUAAAAUGUGUGUGGCAUAAAGAAAAAAAAAGUAACAUGUAAACAAUUCUACUCCACUGAAACUUUUUUUUAACUUUUUGGUGGAUAAAAACAAAUAUGAAUAGAUGUAGCUAGACAACCUAACUAUACAUGUUUUUGAUGGUGGAAAUAUAAACCUUCAACUCCGCGAAUCCAACGCUCUUAUACCAAUUCUCUGUUCUCUAAUACCAAUACCUUAGUUGCAUUUUGUCAUAUAAACUAUGCACAACGUGUACAGUUUAGUUUUACUAGCAUAUGUUUAAAGUUCCAUUAAAUAAACAACACAUUAGUUACUUACCUAUAGUUAAUCAUUUUGUAAGAAAGUGUGUUUUUUCCAAAUGGCUAUGAUUUAAUGUCAAAUUUAUUUAACCUGAUAAUUCAUACAAUCCAUGUUUAUUUUCUUUUUACUCUUUUCUUUAAAUGUUGAAAAUUAUUUUUUAGUUGAAUGAUUUAUAUAUUCAAUUAUUUUUCCUAUUUGCUUAUAAAUACUGUUUGUAUUUUAUAAUUGGACUAUCAUUCGAUCUUUUCUAAACCUUAAAUAAAUAAGAAUUCGAAUAUUUGAAUGUAUGCAUAUGGUGAAUAGACGAAUAAGUAUGCUAUGGUAACAAAGUAUCUAACAUAUUUUUUCCCAGUUCAUUAAUUGUUUACAUUAUGAAGUAAGCCAUUUUGUGUGCUAUUUUUAUUGUAUAUAUUCAUUCGGCAUUUAACAAAAAGGUCAUCAAUCGUUUAAAUGGACGUCUUUAAUUAACAAAUACCAGCAUGAUUAUGCGUCAAAUAUAUAUUCAGUUUGUACUAUUUUCAUUGGGGUAUGUAUAUGUAAUAAUUUAUGUUGUAUUUUUAUUGUAGAUAAUUUUUCCAGAGAGAGAUAUAAAUUCAAUAUCAUAUUCACUAUUUCAUUGUUGAACUACCACUUGCUGUAUAGUAUGAAUUAAUUCAAAGUGUUGCACCGCUUCAAUAAUAUGCCAAAAUAAUCGUGUUGUAUCGUGCCAAUGAUACAUGUUUAAGUUCUUUUGAUGUAUGUUUGAUAGUUUGUUGUCAACAAUAUGUAUUUAUACUACCAUAAUUAUAGAAACGAUGCAUGAGCUUGUGAGUCUUUUAAUGCUUUUAUGUCAUUCACCUAAUAACAACACACAAAUUUAUUAAAAUAAUGUUCUUCUUAUCUAAAGGUUUUAAAGAGUCAAUUCGACAAAAUAUUACCAUGAGCUCAGCUUUAUAUCAUACCUGUUUUAAAACGCCAUCUUAUACAGUAGUAGUAUUAAAAUUAUAUUUUUUUUAUCGUUUUAUCAACGGAUCAACUAUCAGUCGAUACCUGAUAAAGACAGUAUCACUAUUGUGUUUGGUGGGAUUUUGAUUCUUUAUUUUAUGCUUUCCGAUGGUUAAUAGCGAAAUAUCAGUGAAUUAAAACAGUGAAGAAUAACAGUGAAAAUUAUCGAUAUAUUUUAUUGUUUUACCGGAACUAUUUGUUGAUAUCUUUGGUUUCCUCAUUGUGACCCAAAAUAAAAGGCAAAAUUACUGAGGGAGACUACUCUGCAUUGAUGUUUAUAAAAACAUACGAAUGAGCUUCCUUUUAAAAUACAUAGGGGAUUCCCAACGGGGAAUUAUUUUGUCCGCAAUGACAAAAAUACACAAAUAAUCAUUUGUAAGCAUACAAUAAAAAGAAAAUGUGUUGGAUUUGGUGGAAUAUCGAUUUUAAACAAUCGUGUUCAUAGAGAAAAAAUAUUUUCACCCCAGGCUUCGCCACUCGUAAAAAUAUCAUUUUCUAUUAUCACUCGUGAAUCCAUAUUCCAACAAAUCCAACAAAUAUCCUCUAUUUAUUUUUACCGAAAUGAGUACUUAUACUGUUUAAGUGUGCUGUUCGCAAGUAUCGUAAUAUUUUGUUAAAGUAUGUAUUCUCAAAUUCAUAUGCCUUAUUAUGUUUGUAAUGUGUAUUUUGGCUUGUUUUAUAACUAUUGUACUACGCAGACACUCGUAUGACGCUGUGACUACUAUAAAAUUUACAUAAACGAGUUUGAAAGCUCAAAACCUUAUUUUAGAAUUUCCGAACUCACCUUUAGCAAAUUUAAAGUAAAUUAACGUUCAUGAACUCAUGCGAAAUUAACAAGAAAAGCUAAAGUUACAUUACUUUAGUAUUAGUUACUAUUAGUAUUAUUAUUAGUAUUACUAUUAGUUUGACAAUAUCAUGGAUAAUUACAUUCGAGUUAAGGAAGCAUCAAGAUUUUGAUGGUCACCUGGUUUACAGCACACUUUAUUUAUAUUCUUGGUAUUUAUGUCUAGUCAUUUCAUUUGCUAUACAAACCACGCACAUGUUUAGUAUGCAAUGGUUUAAGUGAUGAGAAAUUGUUAUAUAUAUGCGUGUUAUGAUGUCAAGUUUAGUUUUAUAAUAAAUACAUUAUAAUUUUG